rnacentral:pre_miRNA from 1 species
UGGACAUAUUAUUGUAUUCGACUGUAUUCAUGACGUGAAAUAGGGGAUUACACUGUUUUUAAAAUGGAAAGUGAAUCAAUUAACAUAAUAGACUCCU